rnacentral:rRNA from 1 species
AUUGAACGCUGGCGGCAGGCUUAACACAUGCAAGUCGAGCGGGGUGAUGGUGCUUGCACUAUCACUUAGCGGCGGACGGGUGAGUAAUGCCUAGGAAUCUGCCCAGUAGUGGGGGACAACGUUUCGAAAGGAACGCUAAUACCGCAUACGUCCUACGGGAGGAAGUGGGGGAUCUUCGGACCUCACGCUAUUGGAUGAGCCUAGGUCGGAUUAGCUAGUUGGUAGGGUAAAGGCCUACCAAGGCGACGAUCCGUAACUGGUCUGAGAGGAUGAUCAGUCACACUGGAACUGAGACACGGUCCAGACUCCUACGGGAGGCAGCAGUGGGGAAUAUUGGACAAUGGGCGCAAGCCUGAUCCAGCCAUGCCGCGUGUGUGAAGAAGGCCCUCGGGUCGUAAAGCACUUUAAGUUGGGAGGAAGGGCUUACAGCGAAUACCUGUGAGUUUUGACGUUACCGACAGAAUAAGCACCGGCUAACUUCGUGCCAGCAGCCGCGGUAA